rnacentral:rRNA from 1 species
UACGGGGGGGGCAAGCGUUGUUCGGAAUUACUGGGCGUAAAGGGCUCGUAGGCGGCCAACUAAGUCAGACGUGAAAUCCCUCGGCUUAACCGGGGAACUGCGUCUGAUACUGGAUGGCUUGAGUUCGGGAGAGGGAUGCAGAAUUCCAGGUGUAGCGGUGAAAUGCGUAGAUAUCUGGAGGAACACCGGUGGCGAAGGCGGCAUCCUGGACCGAUACUGACGCUGAGGAGCGAAAGCCAGGGGAGCAAACGGG